UGGAUUUUUAUUUUUUUAGUGAAAAAUAAUAUUAUCGUGGAGAAUGAUUAUGGGUAUUUUAUCAAGUGAUUUUGGAUUGAGAUUAUUAAAUUAAGUGUGUUUAAUUUGAAGUUGGACAAACAUGACCAAAAUAGCUUUAUGUGUGGAUAAUUAACAAAAUAUCCUUGUAGGUUAAAAAAAAAAUUUAUAAAAUAAUAAUAAUUAUUAAAAAUUAAAAAUUAAAAACAAAAAACCAACGUGUAAGCCAAGCUUUUGUUCUUCUCUUCAUUCUUC
rnacentral:lncRNA from 1 species